rnacentral:lncRNA from 1 species
CAUCAAAAAUCAUCGAUCAUCGAGAUGAUGCUCGUAGGUCUCACAAUCCACCAGUGACACCUAGCAGUAUAUAGUGACAAUCCAGUAAAAUAAAAGAUAAUGAAUCUCUAGGUACAGUUAACGUAUGAUACAGUUUCUCUAUCGUGAGUCUCGAUAAGAUGGCAGGUCAUGGAUGAAUCCUCAAACCUCAUCAUCGGUCAUAUGAUAGAUUCAAUUAGCUCGAGU